UGGGGAAUAUUGGACAAUGGGCGCAAGCCUGAUCCAGCCAUGCCGCGUGUGUGAAGAAGGCCUUUUGGUUAUAAAGCACUUUAAGCGAGGAGGAGGCUACUUGGAUUAAUACUCUAGGAUAGUGGACGUUACUCGCAGAAUAAGCACCGGCUAACUCUGUGCCAGCAGCCGCGGUAAUACAGAGGGUGCGAGCGUUAAUCGGAUUUACUGGGCGUAAAGCGUGCGUAGGCGGCUUCUUAAGUCGGAUGUGAAAUCCCUGAGCUUAACUUAGGAAUUGCAUUCGAUACUGGGAAGCUAGAGUAUGGGAGAGGAUGGUAGAAUUCCAGGUGUAGCGGUGAAAUGCGUAGAGAUCUGGAGGAAUACCGAUGGCGAAGGCAGCCAUCUGGCCUAAUACUGACGCUGAGGUACGAAAGCAUGGGGAGCAAACAGG
rnacentral:rRNA from 1 species